rnacentral:rRNA from 1 species
UAAAGCUACGAAGGGUAUACGGCGGAUGCCUUGGCGCUAACGAGCGAUGAAGGACGUGGNAGACUGCGAAANNCUUCGGNGAGCNGUCUAGCANGCUUUGANCCGGAGNUGUCCGAAUGGGGCAACCCAGCACAGGGAAACUUGUGUUACUGGCAACUGAAUUCAUAGGUUGUCAGAGCGAACCUGGGGAAGUGAAACAUCUCAGUACCCAGAGGAANAGAAAUCAAUUGAGAUUCCCCUAGUAGCGGCGAGCGAACGGGGACCAGUCCAAACCAGAGGAGCUUGCUCUUCUGGGGUUGUGGGCGGCCGACAUAGACCAUGGAGGUUAAUCGAAGGUUCUGGAAUGGACCAGCAUAGAGGGUGAUACUCCCGUAGAUGAAAAUUAAAAUGGCUUAGGCCUGUCCCAGAGUACCACAGGGCACGUGAAACCCGGUGGGAAGCAGGGUGGACCAUCAUCCAAGACUAAAUAUCUAUUGACGACCGAUAGCGUAUAGUACCGUGAGGGAAAGGUGAAAAGUACUCCGGUGAGGAGAGUGAAAGAGUACCUGAAACCGUAUGUUUACAACCGGUGGAAGAGCUAUGCACAUUUGUGAAUGCUCGACCGCGUACCUUUUGCAUCAUGGGUUGGCGAGUCAACGUUUGCAGCGAGGUUAAGCCGUCAGGUGUAGCCGAAGCGAAAGCGAGUCUGAAUAGGGCGCAUAGUUGCAGGCGUUGGACCCGAAGCCGGUCGAUCUACGCAUGGGCAGGUUGAAGCGAGGGUAAUGCCUCGUGGAGGACCGAACCCGUUAGAGUUGAAAAUCUUUGGGAUGACUUGUGCGUAGGGGUGAAAGGCCAAUCAAGGCCGGUGAUAGCUGGUUCUCCCCGAAAGAUAUUUAGGUAUCGCCUCGGAUGUUUACUAGCGGAGGUAGAGCACUGAAAAGGCUAGGGCGCCCACAAGCGUACCGACCCUUAUCAAACUCCGAAUGCCGCUAAGUAUAGUCCGGGAGACAGGCUAUGGGUGAUAAGGUCCAUAGCCAAGAGGGAAACAGCCCAGACCAUCAGCUAAGGUCCCUAAAUCUCGACUAAGUGGAAAAGGAUGUGGAAGCGCUUAGACAACCAGGAGGUUGGCUUAGAAGCAGCAAUCCUUUAAAGAAAGCGUAAUAGCUCACUGGUCAAGUGAAUCUGCGCCGAAAAUGUAACGGGGCUUAAGUCGAGUACCGAAGCUAUGGGUCCAUAAUAUGGGCGGUAGGGGAGCACUGUAGCGUCAGUGAAGCGUCACCGAAAGGAGGCGUGGAGAUUCUACAGGCGAUUAUGCCAACAUGAGUAGCGAGAAAACAGGUGAGAAUCCUGUUCGCCGAAAACCCAAGGUUUCCUGGGUCAAGACCAUCUUCCCAGGGUUAGUCGGGACCUAAGACGAGGCCGAGAGGCGUAGUCGAUGGAAAACAGGUUAAUAUUCCUGUACCACCUGAANGUCGUUGAAAUGAGGAGCGACGGAGAAGGGUAUAGUGCCAGCCAGGUUUUGGAUGUCCUGGUCGAAGCACGUAGACGGGAGUUCUAGGAUAAAAACGGAACUCUAACGUUGAGGUGUGAUGGGGCAACACGUCUUCGGACACGUUGUUACUGGCUGAUCCCAUGCUUCCAAGAAAAACUUCGCAUGGAGACUGAUGGUGCCCGUACCCCAAACCGACACAGGUGGGUGGGGUGAGUAUCCUAAGGCGCUUGAGAGAAUCGUGGUUAAGGAACUCUGCAAAUUGAUGCCGUAACUUCGGGAUAAGGCAUGCCCUUUAUGGUGAUAGGACUUGCUCCUUGAGCCUAAGAGGGCCGCAGUGAAAUGGGGCUAGCGACUGUUUACCAAAAACACAGGUCUCUGCUAACUCGAAAGAGGAUGUAUAGGGGCUGACGCCUGCCCGGUGCCGGAAGGUUAAGAGGAGCUGUAAGAGCAAUCGAAGCAGUGAAUUGAAGCCCCGGUAAACGGCGGCCGUAACAAUAACGGUCCUAAGGUAGCGAAAUUCCUUGGCGGGUAAGUUCCGUCCUGCACGAAU